AGCCGAAACGGGCAUUUUGCCCGUCAUGCCGGAAAUGGUUUCCCGGUGUCUGAUGAUGGCAGACCGUU
rnacentral:hammerhead_ribozyme from 1 species